GAUGAACGCUGGCGGCGUGCCUAAUACAUGCAAGUCGAGCGAACAGACGAGGAGCUUGCUCCUCUGACGUUAGCGGCGGACGGGUGAGUAACACGUGGAUAACCUACCUAUAAGACUGGGAUAACUUCGGGAAACCGGAGCUAAUACCGGAUAAUAUAUUGAACCGCAUGGUUCAAUAGUGAAAGACGGUUUUGCUGUCACUUAUAGAUGGAUCCGCGCCGCAUUAGCUAGUUGGUAAGGUAACGGCUUACCAAGGUAACGAUGCGUAGCCGACCUGAGAGGGGGAUAGGCCACACUGGAACGGAGACACGGUCCAGACGCCUACGGGAGGCAGCAGUAGGGAAUCUGCCGCAAUGGGCGAAAGCCUGACGGAGCAACGCCGCGUGAGUGAUGAAGGUCUUCGGAUCGUAAAACUCUGUUAUUAGGGAAGAACAAAUGUGUAAGUAACUAUGCACGUCUUGACGGUACCUAAUCAGAAAGCCACGGCUAACUACGUG
rnacentral:rRNA from 1 species